rnacentral:rRNA from 1 species
AGUGAACGCUGGCGGUAGGCCUAACACAUGCAAGUCGAACGGCAGCACAGUAAGAGCUUGCUCUUACGGGUGGCGAGUGGCGGACGGGUGAGGAAUACAUCGGAAUCUACUUUUUCGUGGGGGUUAACGUAGGGAAACUUACGCUAAUACCGCAUCCGACCUACGGGUGAAAGCAGGGGAUCUUCGGACCUUGCGCGAUUGAAUGAGCCGAUGUCGGAUUAGCUAGUUGGCGGGGUAAAGACCCACCAAGGCGACGAUCCGUAGCUGGUCUGAGAGGAUGGUCAGCCACACUGGAACUGAGACACGGUCCAGACUCCUACGGGAGGCAGCAGUGGGGAAUAGUGGACAAUGGGCGCAAGCCUGAUCCAGCCAUACCGCGUGUGUGAAGAAGGCCUUCGGGUUGUAAAGCCCUUUUGUUGGGAAAGAAAAGCAGCAGGUUAAUACCCCGCUGUUCUGACGGUACCCAAAGAAUAAGCACCGGCUAACUUCGUG